rnacentral:rRNA from 1 species
AGUGAACGCUGGCGGUAGGCCUAACACAUGCAAGUCGAACGGCAGCACAGUAAGAGCUUGCUCUUACGGGUGGCGAGUGGCGGACGGGUGAGGAAUACAUCGGAAUCUACUUUUUCGUGGGUGAUAACGUAGGGAAACUUACGCUAAUACCGCAUACGACCUACGGGUGAAAGCAGGGGAUCUUCGGACCUUGCGCGAUUGAAUGAGCCGAUGUCGGAUUAGCUAGUUGGCGGGGUAAAGGCCCACCAAGGCGACGAUCCGUAGCUGGUCUGAGAGGAUGAUCAGCCACACUGGAACUGAGACACGGUCCAGACUCCUACGGGAGGCAGCAGUGGGGAAUAUUGGACAAUGGGCGCAAGCCUGAUCCAGCCAUACCGCGUGGGUGAAGAAGGCCUUCGGGUUGUAAAGCCCUUUUGUUGGGAAAGAAAAGCAGCAGGUUAAUACCCCGCUGUUCUGACGGUACUCAAAGAAUAAGCACCGGCUAACUUCGUG